AUAUUGCUAUUAUUAAGAGGUUUUUUUUUUUUAUUACUCCUUCUGUAGACAGUCUUUUUUAUUUCUCUCUGAAAGUUAUCUGGAUAUUGCCUUUAACCUUGGUAUUUUGAAAGUGCAUAAUGAAUUGCCUAAGUAUUUUCCUCAAAUUUCUAGUGAGCCUUGGUUGUCCAUGCACACCUGCAAGUGAAUGUAGAAGGAAAGUCUGAGAGCUCCGUGACUGUGGAUGGGACUUGUCAACCAGCAGCCUUUGCCUCGGUGUAAGGAAGUGGAGGACCUCUGGGAGAUGAAUUCUGGUGAAAAUAAAAUGGAUCCGGUCAACAAAUUGGCCCCGGCUGGAAGCUGACAUCCGUACUGUUGGCAUUUACCACGAGCACACCAGAAGGAUGGCCACCUUCUUGCUGUUUCCUCACAUGAUGGAGAUCUGGGAGUAAGAGAAAGCUACUUUAUCCUUGGUAAUACUUUUUUAUUCUUGGUAAUAUUGUUUAUUCUGAAGUUUGCUUUGUCUGCUAUUAAUAUAUUCAUCCCAGCUUCCUUUCAAUUAGUAUUUUGUGUUAUAUAUUUUUGUGAAUUUUUACUUUGAACCUAUGUCUUUAUAGUUAAAGUGGGAUUCUUAUAGAGAAUGUAAUAAUAUUUUGCUUUUGUAUCCAAUCUGACACUCUGACUUUUAAUUGGAAUG